UACGUAGGGGGCGAGCGUUGUCCGGAUUUACUGGGCGUAAAGAGCGCGUAGGCGGAAAUUUAAGCGUGGCCUGAAAGCCCCCGGGCUCAACCGGGGAGUGCGGCUGCGAACUGGGUUUCUUGAGGACGAUGAGAGGAGAGUGGAAUUCCUGGUGUAGCGGUGAAAUGCGUAGAUAUCAGGAGGAACACCCGAGGCGAAGGCGGCUCUCUGGGUCGUACCUGACGCUGAGGCGCGAAAGCGUGGGGAGCGAACGGG
rnacentral:rRNA from 1 species